rnacentral:lncRNA from 1 species
CUGCAACACUCUUACUUAUUUUGUGUGUCGUUAAUGUGGUUGCUUAAGACAAUUUUUUGCUGUGCUAUUUUUGAGCUGUUCUCUCAGCCAUUGGACAAUUUUUGUUUUUUUCUCUUGCUUUAGGUGUUUUUUGGACUAUAACUCUACUGCUUAAUGCUAUCUAUUUUGUUUAGUUCUUGGUUUGUUCCUUGUUUGCUGAUGCCAAAAAGGGGGAGAAGAGUAUAUGUUGUAUUUGUACAUAUAUAGUUGACUGUGUGGCAAAAGUAGCAUCCUCCAUGGCAGGAGUCGACUCCAACCAUGGAUUAGUCAACUACAUGAACUGAGGGGAAGUGCCAUGAACCUAACAACUACAUACAUUAAGGGGAAGUAAAACACAGGAAAGUCAACUGGUGUUUAUACGUAUAUAUUAUUUUGUCAACAUCAAAAAGAGGGAAAUUGUUAGAUCUAAUUUUAAUGAUGCAAUUAAUAUAUCUGUGCAGGAAAUAAUUACAGAAGAUCAAGGAAUCAAGGAGCUACUACAAGAUUGCUGAAGUCAAUCUGGAUGUUUAGGGAAAGAAAUCAAUCAGCAAAGAUUACGAAUCAAUCAGCAAAGAUCACGGACAACUGCGAUGGAAAGAAUCAAGCAAGCCUAAACUUAAGGCAUCAAUCAAGGGCAGCAUAUUCAAUCCAGAAGGUUGAAGCUGUCAAAAAGCAUCAAAGAUUCUAUAAGAAGAUUAGCUGAGCAGCAAAUUUACGAAAGGACUAACAAGGAGUAAACCCUCGUCGUUAACAUCUGUAGAAGGAAAGCUGUCAAUUUCCUCUCAUCAAGGAAGAGCAAUGGCAAGCAAUCUAUUCUUGAAAAGAAUCAAUCUCUUUCCAAGGAUCAAAUAUCUUGGGUUUCCAAGUCUUGUGAGUAAACGGUCUUCACCAAAGUAUUUAUACUCAGCAUGAAGCCUUAGACAAAUAUACUUUAAUCGAACAAAAAAUUUUCUCUUUAUUCUACUGCAAACAAAUAUUGUAGUUCUCUAAGGUCUGUUGUGCAACAAGCCAGAGAAAAAAGGAGAGUACAACACCGGUGAAGCAUUGUGUCAAAAGAGACGAGUGUUAUAGGAACUAAGCUAUCACGACAUUUUCAUUGUACUCGAAGAAACACAUUUACUAAGGAGAAAUCCCUUGCAACCCAAGGGGACUG